rnacentral:rRNA from 1 species
GGGCCCGCACAAGCGGUGGAGCAUGUGGUUUAAUUCGAUGCAACGCGAAGAACCUUACCAGGGCUUGACAUACUACAAAUUUUUUGGAAACAGAAAAGUGCCUUCGGGAAUGUAGAUACAGGUGGUGCAUGGCUGUCGUCAGCUCGUGUCGUGAGAUGUUGGGUUAAGUCCCGCAACGAGCGCAACCCUUAUUUUUAGUUACCAAUUCGUUGGGUUCUCUAGAAAGACUGCCGGUGACAAACCGGAGGAAGGUGAGGAUGACGUCAAGUCAGCAUGCCCCUUAUGUCCUGGGCUACACACGUGCUACAAUGGUUAAGACAAAGAGUCGCUAGCUUGCAAAAGUUUGCUAAUCUCAUAAACUUAGCCUAAGUUCAGAUUGUAGGCUGCAACUCGCCUACAUG